AAAAGCAGAGUAGCUGGCUGUAGGGAGGGCUGCUGGGAUGUAGGCUGCAGUCACUCCCUGAGUGAAGGAAGUUGGAAGCUGGCAAACCCAGAGAGGAGGAAAGCCAGGAAAACAGCAGCAAGAGGCACUGGGGAGUGGCAAAGGAUGUUGGAGGUGCCAACCAGCCAGUCUGGAAAGACUGAAUUUCCCGGAAGGGGAGGACUUUAGCAACUUGGCAGGAGGGCCAAGCCAUGGAGAGGAAGCUGCAGACCCAGGAGUGAGCAGGGCAGCAGAGCGAGACAAGAUGGGAGAAGAAAACACGGGAGGGAGAGUGCAAGCUGGCAGAACUAAUCCCCAGGACAGCUGGCAGGAGGUGCUGCUCGUGGCACCUCUUCGGAUUCCCGUGCUCAGAAUCUGUCAACCUGCAAACGAGAAAAACCAUAGGCGAUGCUAUUGUUCAGCCCAGGCACAUGCUUGGCAGUGAAAUUAAUAUUAGAGAGACAAGGUAGGUGAUGUAGUAUCUUUUGCUGGACCAGUGGAGAAUGAAAGGCCUCACCAACCUCAUUACCCUGGCAGCUUUAGCAUAUGGACAACCUCUAGAUUGUGGCACCAAAACAUGACCAUCUUGUCCCUGAACUCCCCACCCCAGAAGAUGACUACCACCAGAAUGAGGAUGUUUCUCAAAAUUGCAGCUUCCAUCCACUCCCAGGCACUCUAGUGCCUCUGAAAUGCAAAAGCUCUAACAGCUGUUGCAUCUGAGUGGACCUGCAGGUCAACCUCUAACAUGUAAACAUCCCUCCAGAUGGACAUCCCUUUACAGUGAGUGAGGAAAUGGUGCCAGGUCACCAGGUCUUCCUUCAUCUCCAGAAUGACCCAUAUCAAAUGGUGUGGGACCUUUGCCCCAAUUGUCACAGUAGCAAACCGCAUGCAGAAGGCAUGCCUGGGGGCUAUGACUUUGUGUGGGAAAAUUCAAAUGGCCCAACAGAGAUUGGAGACCUCUCAGACAAACCGCUUUGGUCCUGCUGCUACGGCUAACCAUAUGGUUUUGUGCCAUGAGCUUGUCCCUAGAAAGGCGGGACUGCCAUGGACUGUAUCAAGCUCAAUGCCUAAGUACGUCAUGUGGUUGCAAGGCUUUCAGUUUUUUUCAUUAGCUAAGAGCACACCCAAUUCUCCCAACAGCUCUUGAAAAACCCAAAACAGUUUUCAUACUCGUCUGAUCUGGCCCUCCCCACAAACAAGAAAUUAUCCAGGUAGUGAAUUACCUGUGGGUACUCUGGGUGCCUCCUGACCACCUAGUCCAUCAUUGUACUGAAUUUUUCAAAGGCUACCCAUAAAAUAGCACAGCCCUUUGUCAGUUUUAUGUAGACAAAUGCCCAUCAGGGGGAAAAAAGCCCAAGAGGUCAAAGUCUGUUGGAUAGAUCAGGAGGCAGAAGGCCAACUUUAUGUCGGUCUUUGAUAGCAAAGUACAGGACCACAUGAGUUGAUCAUGUGCAUCACUGUGUUGAAUGACACAUAGCACAUGGUGCACUGCUUGGGGUUAAUAUCAUUGUUUACCGAUCCACAUUUACGGUAUGAGAGAUGGUGAAUGUCACGUCAUUCACCAGCUACUUUCUUAAGAAAAAGGGGAAAUAUGGAGAUUUGUCAGAAAGGACCUGCAUCCCUGCCUGGCCUCCUUUUUGGAUCUUGUCCCUGGCUGGGCUCCUUAUGCCUUUAACAGAUCAGAGAUUAUUUGCCAUGACAUACGCCCUCUCCCCUUCAUAGGGAAUCCUAUAAUCCUGAACAAAACCAUCCUACAAGUAUAUCCCUUUCUCCUUUUUGGGACUAUGCCUUAAAAGGGGGGCUAAAACAUCCAAGUUAAUUGGAUAUAUUGCCUUUUUCAGCCAUGUUGCCCCAAGCCCCACUCUGCAUGGGCUUGGGCCACUGCCCACAUCCCCUGGGGAAGAUGCACUUAACAUGCCAGAAACCUGAAGAUGUGUGCCUACCUCCACAAUGCCCACAUUCAUGCCGAAACCUACCAUAUGCACAGAUUUUUUCCUCUGUCUCAUUGCAUUCCCAGCAUGAAGGCCUGGGCUGGUCAGGUUUCAAUGUCUUAAGCUAAAACUUUGUCCCCCUUCUCAUGCCCUGACUUUAUUGUAUAUGUCCACUAUUGGUGCAGGGUCCCUUUAAAGGGUGCCCUUGAGCCAUGCACUCCUGUCAUAGUUCCUGAUCAAUUUUAUCCCAAUGCAAGGAGGCGUUCAGGGCGGCUCUCAUUCUAACAUGCUCAUCAUGCAAGAGCCCUGAAGUGCCUGAAAAUGAAUUAUAUGACCUACAUGUAAUAAGCAAAUAUUUCAGCACAGGCCCAUACACUGCCAUAACUGCACCAUCACCCACAUGUAGGUGAUGCAGGCUGCAAUUCCUCUCUGUGUUUUUCCUUUUGGCCCUAUUCCUCUCCUCCAUUUAUAGGUUCCCUGAACAGCAGGGAAAAUAUGUCCAUAUACUCCAUCCACCAUAUCUUCUCACGUUUUGAUUUGAGAAGAUGCGCCACCAAUGGCUCAGAAGCGGCUGCAUAUGAGCCCAUAUUCAGACCAACAUUAGUAGACCCUCUGGGUUGCUGCAAUAAAGGCUGUGGGACAGGGAGUGAGGAUCCUGAGGCUUUAGGGCCAGGAACAAGGAAACCAGAGGCUGUGGGGCAAAUGGCUGUGAUGCUGGAAGCUGUAAGGCUGUCAAAUGAGGAGUCAUCAGAUGGAGGGCUGUCAGCUAGAGUGCCUGGGCAUUGGGUGCUCCCACACUGUAUACCUGCAGGCAGCUGGCUUAUUCUAUGACCCUCUGUUCAUAUGUACCUCCUGAGGCUGAAGCCAUCCGGGACCCCGCCCAUUCCUCACAUCAGAACUGCCUGUCUGAGACCAUGCAGCCACACUAGGGGAAUAUGCUGAACCCCAAAUACCUGGACCACUGGAUCUUUCCCAUGCACUCCCACUGGACCCUGACUGAUUGUGAACUCAACCUGCUGCAGGGGCCAGGGUGUCUUCUGUUGCGCUUGACCCUUGUUUUCCAGUGCUCCAAACCGAUCUGAAGUGGACUGCAUCAUCUUCACAAGUUACCCCAUCUCUGGCUGCUUAGGACAUGGCUCCCUUCCUGGCCUCUUGCUCUUUUCUCUCUCCUUCCUGACCUUCCCAGCUGGUCCAGAAUAGGCAACAAAUGGCCCCCUGCGUCAAGCAGCUGCAAUGUGUCAGUUAGCCCAUCCUGCUGCCCACCUGGUCUUGUAGCAUCACAGGGUAUCGCUGCCUUUCAUGCUUACUUAGCCCUGGCACACAUUGUGCUGCCCAUGUGCCCAGCACAAUCAAGCAGGUUUAGGUUGUUGCCAGUCAGCUGCCUAUGAUCCAUGGCGAACACAGCUGCUCCGCAUGCUCUGGUCCUCCUGACUGCUAGACAAACUGUCAAACAGAAAGUGGCCCUGAAUGCAGGGUUCCUGUUAUGGUUCCAAAUCCUGCGAGAUCUCUGGCUUGCCACCGAAAUCUUAUGGGAGCUGGAAAUCUUAAAGGGACUUGGCCCGUGCUGUCCUUUAAUGCCCUCUCCCAGCAUGGGAGCCACCCAACUUACCCCUCACUAGGCUGGGUGCCCUUUUGACUCCAAACAGAAGUUUGCUUUACCAAAAGGAUGUCACUGCCUCCCGCCCCCCAGCAUAGAGCAGUUCAGGAGGCGUUAGUGUAAACCAAGCAAUGAGAUUAAGACUAGUACAUUGUAUUGUGUAGGGUGGUUGUUCAGAGAACUGAGAUAUGAAAGGGCCUAGUGGAGGAACUCUAAAGUCUCCUGUGUGCAAGAGAGCCAGGCUCUACUGUAGUCAGCUCUGCAGGACCUCACAGGGGGAAUUUGUAAGUGGGUUGGGAGACUGGUAACAGCCAGAUGCAUGGGCUAAAAUCCCUUUGUGGAGUGAGUGCCAUAAGCUAUAUAGCUGUGGUUGAUAUUGUAGUCACUAAUACUUGUGGUGGUGUUGUGAUUGAAAAUAGUUACUUUUUGAACCAAAUUCCUUGCAUCCUAUGACCCAUCUGCAUGACAGAAAUGUACAUAUAUACAAAGCCCUUAUGUAAAUACACUGCAUUGGCAUAAAGUGGGAUUUACACACUAGUUUUCCUUUAGCCAGCAACGUACAGAAGCAUGUUUUUACACCAGUAUAUUUUUCUUAAUAUAGACAGGACUUAAAUUUACCCUAGUGCAAAUUUCCUUAAUGUAGACAGAGCAUGAAAUGAGAAUAGUCUCUCCUCUACUGUGCUGUUAGAAGUAGCUGUUUCAAGAAGCAAUGUCUCAAGAUGUUGAGAAAUUGCUUCCCUAAACCUUUUCCCAACAUAGGACCGUUAUUGCUGCUAUUAGAUUUAGUUCCCUUCUUGAUCUCAUUCAACAUUACACACUCAGUAUAUAUAUUUUUCCUGAUCCGGAGGCAAAGUACCUUUGUUUAUAUGUAUUUGAUAGGUUGACAUUCAAAAUAUGUGCUUAGCUACAAAUAUUAAAGUAUUUUAAAAUGUGUUUGCACCUUAGGUG